rnacentral:rRNA from 1 species
AGAGUUUGAUCAUGGCUCAGGGUGAACGCUGGUAACGUGGAUACCGGCAUGCAAGUCACGGGGGCCGCAAGGCAACCGGCGAACGGCUUAGUAACACGUAGAUACAUACCGUAAAGUGGGGCAUAGCUCGUCGAAAGACGGGGUAAUUUCCCAUAGUCCCGCAAGGGUAAAGCAGCAAUGCGCUUUAUGAAUGGUCUGCGGUCUAUCAGCUAGUUGGUGGGGUAAAAGCCUACCAAGGCUAUGACGGAUAGGGGGCGUGAGAGCGCGACCCCCAAGAAUGGCACUGCGACACGGGCCAUACUCCUACGGGAGGCUGCAGUCGAGAACCUUCCGCAAUGGACGAAAGUCUGACGGAGCGACGUUACGUGAAGGAUGAAGCCCUUCGGGGUGUAAACUUCUUUUAUCUGGGAGCAACUUAAUGAGAGUACCAGAUGAAUAAGGGGAUACUAAUUCUGUGCCAGCAGUAGCGGUAAUACAGAAUCCCCGAGCGUUACCCGGAUUUAUUGGGCGUAAAGAGUCUGUAGGUGGUAAAGUAAGUUACAAAUUAAACUUCAUCGGCUUAACCUUUGAACUGUUUGUAAUACUGCUAUACUAAGAGGGCGUUAGAGGCAAACGGAACCGACGAAGUAGGGGUGAAAUCCGUUGAUAUCGUCGGGAACACCAAAUGCGAAGGCAGUUUGCUGGGACGACCCUGACACUGAGAGACGAAAGCGUGGGGAGCAAAAAGGAUUAGAUACCCUAGUAGUCC